rnacentral:rRNA from 1 species
GACGUAGGGGGCAAGCGUUGUCCGGAAUCAUUGGGCGUAAAGCGCUCGUAGGUGGAUCGGUAAGUCUGCAAAGAAAGACCCGGGCUCAACUCGGGGAACGGUGUGGAUACUACCGAUCUUGAGGCAAUCAGAGGAUGAUGGAAUUCCCCGGUGUAGCGGUGAAAUGCGUAGAUAUCGGGAGGAACACCAGUGGCGAAGGCGAUCAUCUGGGGUUGUUCUGACACUGAGGAGCGAAAGCUAGGGGAGCAAACGGG